rnacentral:rRNA from 1 species
GAUGAACGCUGGCGGCGUGCUUAACACAUGCAAGUCGAACGGUGAACGAGGGAGCUUGCUCCCUCCGGAUCAGUGGCGAACGGGUGAGUAACACGUGAGCAAUCUGCCCUGGACUCUGGGAUAAGCGUUGGAAACGACGUCUAAUACCGGAUACGAGACGUGGGGGCAUCCCCAACGCCUGGAAAGAACUUCGGUCCAGGAUGAGCUCGCGGCCUAUCAGGUAGUUGGUGAGGGAAUGGCUCACCAAGCCUACGACGGGUAGCCGGCCUGAGAGGGUGACCGGCCACACUGGGACUGAGACACGGCCCAGACUCCUACGGGAGGCAGCAGUGGGGAAUAUUGCACAAUGGGCGAAAGCCUGAUGCAGCAACGCCGCGUGAGGGACGACGGCCUUCGGGUUGUAAACCUCUUUUAGCAGGGAAGAAGCGAAAGCGACGGUACCUGCAGAAAAAACACCGGCUAACUACGUGCCAGCCGCCGCAGUAAUAC